rnacentral:ncRNA from 14 species
GGUACAUGGCUCAGUUGGCAGAGUGUUCGUUUAGCAUACGAAAGGUCUUGGGUUCAAUUCCCAAUGUAUC